rnacentral:rRNA from 1 species
ACGGGAGGCAGCAGUGGGGAAUAUUGGGCGAUGGGCGAAAGCCUGACCCAGCAACGCCGCGUGGAGGAAGAAGGUCUUCGGAUCGUAAACUCCUGUCCUAAGGGAAGAGAAGAGGACUGUACCUUAGGAGGAAGCCCCGGCUAACUACGUGCCAGCAGCCGCGGUAAUACGUAGGGGGCAAGCGUUGUCCGGAAUGAUUGGGCGUAAAGGGCGCGUAGGCGGCCCACUAAGUCUGGAGUGAAAGUCCUGCCUUCAAGGUGGGAAUUGCUUUGGAUACUGGUGGGCUUGAGUGCAGGAGAGGUUAGUGGAAUUCCCAGUGUAGCGGUGAAAUGCGUAGAGAUUGGGAGGAACACCAGUGGCGAAGGCGACUAACUGGACUGUAACUGACGCUGAGGCGCGAAAGUGUGGGGAGCAAACAGGAUUAGAUACCCUGGUA